rnacentral:rRNA from 1 species
UUUCCUACGGGUGGCAGCAGUGGGGAAUAUUGGGCAAUGGGCGAAAGCCUGACCCAGCAACGCCGCGUGAGGGAAGAAGGUCUUCGGAUUGUAAACCUCUGUCCUUGGGGACGAAAAAAAUGACGGUACCCAAGGAGGAAGCCCCGGCUAACUACGUGCCAGCAGCCGCGGUAAUACGUAGGGGGCGAGCGUUGUCCGGAAUUACUGGGCGUAAAGGGUGCGUAGGCGGUUGCCUAAGUCAGAUGUGAAAUCCCCGGGCUUAACUCGGGUGGUGCAUUUGAAACUGGGUGACUAGAGUGCAGGAGAGGGAAGCGGAAUUCCUAGUGUAGCGGUGAAAUGCGUAGAUAUUAGGAGGAACACCAGUGGCGAAGGCGGCUUUCUGGACUGUAACUGACGCUGAGGCACGAAAGCGUGGGGAGCAAACAGGAUUAGAUACCCCGGUAGUCAA